UAAUAACCUUGUUAGGUGAGGCUCCUAUACAAACAUAUGCUAUUGCUCAGAAACGUCGAAAGACGCCAAUGAGUCAAACAGGAAUUGUCGGAUUAAGGCUUUUUCAAAUAGCUAAGAGUGUUUCUUUACGUUGUAUAGUGCUAAAACUCGGACGAUGAGAUGAUGC
rfam:Enterococcus hirae ATCC 9790, complete genome.